rnacentral:misc_RNA from 1 species
GAUGAAGAACUCAGCGAAAUGCGAUAAGUAAUGUGAAUUGCAGAAUUCAGUGAAUCAUCGAAUCUUUGAACGCACCUUGCGCCCUUUGGCCAUUCCGAAGGGCAUGCCUGUUUGAGUAUCAUGAACACCUCAACUCUUCAUGGUUUUCCAUGAUGAGCUUGGACUUUGGGGGUCUUGCUGGCCUGUGGGUCGGCUCCUCUCAAAUGAAUCAGCUUGCCGGUUUUUGGUGGGCAUCACAGGUGUGAUAACUAUCUACGCUUGUGGUUUUCCACCAGGGUAACCUUCAGCAGUGGAGGUUCACUGGAGCUUACAAAUGUCUCUCCUCUGUGAGGACAGCCCUUUGAAUGUUUGAUCUCAAAUCAGGUAGGACUACCCGCUGAACUUAAGCAUAUCAAUAAGCGGAGGA